AGUACGAUGUAAAAGAGAAGCCUUUUCCUCCUACACCCAAACAGAGAAAAAAGGAGAUGUAGAACCCGUAAGGAUGCCUAGUAGCAGUUACAGACAAGGUCCAUCAAACACCCAAAGGGUCUCUGAAACGACCGAGGCCAUCGUCCUGACAGCGUGCACGCUCCCUGCUGUAACUACCCACCAAUGUGAAAUCCACAGUGAGCACAGCCAACUGCUCUGGGUGCCUGUGGAGCUUUAGAAUCUCGAACUGUCACCAGGCUGGAGUGCAGUGGUGUGAUCUUGGCUCACUGCAACCUCCACCUCCCAGGUUCAAGCAAUUCUCCGCCUCAGUCUCCCAAGUUGCUGGGAUUACAGCCGCCUGCC
rnacentral:lncRNA from 1 species